rnacentral:lncRNA from 1 species
GAGUUGUGUUCCUCUCUGUGCAUGACAGAAUUCUCUCCAAAGGGGAAAGUUCAAGAUGUCCAAGGAACUUCACCAUGAACAUUGUUGCCGUGGGGAAGAAAACCCUUAGCUCCCUCACAGGAUCAGCUAUUCGGGUUCUCUGCUCUGUUCAUGAAACUGAUCACUCAGCCUAGAAAAUCGUAUGGCACUUAUGACUGCAAACGUGUCCAAAGUUGGAAUUGGUUUACUCCCCUAAAGACCUAUUAUCAGGAAGUAUGGUAUAUUUGAUAAUUAUGACAAUUAUGAAAUUUAUGACCAUAACGAAAUGUGGACACUGAUAAAAUCUAUGCAACAAGUGACAUCAGUGUUUGACACAUCCAGGGGAGAGGAAGCUAUAAUCUGAGCCAAGAUGUUAAUUAUAAAGAACAUGAAAGGAUGCUAAAAUUGGCUUGAGAACAAAGAGAACUAUGAUCAUUUCUCCUGUCUUAUAAAGAACAAUGGUCUUCAUAAAUGCCACUCUUAAACCAACGCGUAUCAUUUCAUUGGAAUUUCUAAGCUCUGUCUGAAACUGCAGAGGUUACUUCUGUAGGAAGAAUUGAAGAAUUGCCAGGGCACUCAUGAAGCAAUUCAACAGGCCGUGAAGAAAUUUCUCUUUCAAGAUUUUAACAAAGAACAUGCUGAGGUCACUGCACAGUGACAGAUUGCGGGAUUGACCGCGCAACAGUCAUCAUAGGAAAUAAACAUUUUAUCAU